GAUGAACGCUGGCGGCGUGCCUAAUACAUGCAAGUCGAGCGAACAGACGAGGAGCUUGCUCCUCUGACGUUAGCGGCGGACGGGUGAGUAACACGUGGAUAACCUACCUAUAAGACUGGGAUAACUUCGGGAAACCGGAGCUAAUACCGGAUAAUAUAUUGAACCGCAUGGUUCAAUAGUGAAAGACGGUUUUGCUGUCACUUAUAGAUGGAUCCGCGCCGCAUUAGCUAGUUGGUAAGGUAACGGCUUACCAAGGCAACGAUGCGUAGCCGACCUGAGAGGGUGAUCGGCCACACUGGAACUGAGACACGGUCCAGACUCCUAGGGGAGGCAGCAGUAGGGAAUCUUCCGCAAUGGGCGAAAGCCUGACGGAGCAACGCCGCGUGAGUGAUGAAGGUCUGCGGAUCGUAAAACUCUGUUAUUAGGGAAGAACAAAUGUGUAAGUAACGAUGCACGUCUUGACGGUACCUAAUCAGAAAGCCACGGCGAACUACGG
rnacentral:rRNA from 1 species